GGGGACGGAAGUGGUGUUGGUUUAGGUGGCUAACUUAGCUACUCACCUAGCCUUAACAAUAGCUUGGAGUUAUUGUUAUUAAUAGCCUCACAGCUUUAACGUAUAGUAGAAACGCUCACUGUAACAUUACGAAUACAAAUCUUACAAAAUCAUUACUUGGCUGUUUGUAAAUGUAACGUAACGUAGCUUAGAAAAUAACAACGUUAGCGUUCGCCUUUAGCUUAGUAGGAGCGUAUUCGUUGGAUAGUAACGUUACCACAUUACUGAAUGGGCGCCUGUAAAUGAAUGAACUGCGUUUACGUUUGACAGGUUGUGAGAAGCGCUGAUUAACAACAUUUAAAGUAAUGGCUACUGGUGCGGAUGUCAGGGAUAUUCUGGAGUUGACUGGAGGAGAAAAUGACGGUCCUAUCAGCAAGAAAGAUCUCAUCAACUCAGACAAGAAAAAAAACAAGAAGACAACAGAAACGCUGACCUUCAAGAGACCAGAGGGAAUGCACCGAGAGGUCUAUGCUCUGCUAUAUUCAGAUAAAAAAGAUGCACCCCCUUUGCUGCCUAGUGAUACUACACAGGGCUACAGGACGGUAAAAGCCAAGCUUGGCUGUAAAAAGGUGCGUCCCUGGAAGUGGAUGCCCUUCACUAAUCCAGCUCGCAGGGAUGGGGCUAUAUUCCACCACUGGAGACGUGUGGCAGAGGAGGGCAAAGACUACCCUUUUGCCCGCUUCAAUAAGACAGUGCAGGUACCAGUGUACUCCGAGCAGGAGUAUCAGAUGCAUCUCCAUGAUGAUGGCUGGACUAAAGCAGAAACAGACCACCUGUUUGACCUGUGCAAGCGCUUUGACCUGCGCUUCGUAGUUGUCCACGACCGUUAUGAUUACCAGCAAUACAGGAAACGUUCUGUGGAGGACCUGAAAGAACGGUAUUACAGUAUUUGUGGUAAGCUGACCAAGGUCCGUGCAGCUUCAGGCACAGAACCCAAGAUCUACAUCUUUGAUGCAGGCCAUGAAAGGCGCCGUAAAGAGCAACUGGAGAAGCUCUUCAAUCGCACACCUGAACAAGUGGCAGAAGAGGAAUAUCUUAUUCAGGAGCUAAGGAAGAUUGAGACUAGGAAGAAAGAGCGUGAGAAGAAGGCCCAGGAUCUGCAGAAACUCAUUAAGGCAGCUGACACAACCACAGAGUUAAGGCGAGCCGAAAAGAGGGUUUCUAAGAAGAAGCUUCCACAAAAAAGAGAAACUGAAAAACCGGCUGUUCCAGAGACCGCAGGCAUCAAGUUCCCUGACUUCAAAUCAGCGGGAGUCACACUGCGCAGUCAGAGGAUGAAACUGCCAAGCUCAGUAGGCCAGAAGAAGAUUAAGGCCAUUGAGCAGAUCCUGAUAGAGCAAGGAGUGGAUCUUAACCCCAUGCCCACAGAGGAGAUUGUUCAGAUGUUCAACGAGCUGCGUAGUGACCUAGUGCUUCUGUACGAGCUGAAGCAGGCCCACAGCAAUUGUGAAUACGAACAACAGAUGCUGCGUCAUCGCUAUGAGGCCCUACUAAAGGCCGGGAGCGGAGGUGGGGGUGGUGGAAUUACAGUGGCCGGACCAGCUGCUGCGACGCAGAGUGGAGAACUCAACGUCACCAACAGCAAUACAGCAUCCACUCCUGGAAGUGAAGCUCAGUCCUGGCCGAGUGCGGACGACAUCAAGGUGGAAGUCAAGGAGCAGAUCAUUGAUGUUGUAGGAGCACCACUUACCCCCAACUCACGCAAACGCAGAGAGUCGGCAUCCAGCUCGUCUUCAGUAAAAAAAGUGAAGAAGCCAUGAUGAGGGCGAGAGCACCAGCUGGUACACGGUGGCGGGCAAGGGGUUUGUGCUAGUUACUCUGGUCACGGUGGAGACUUCCACAAGUUUUAUGGUUGGACAAGAGGGACACAGGAGCAGGACCAUGUUUCUGUCCAUUUUUUGCACGCACACACACACACACACACACACACACACACACACACACACACACACACACACACACACACACACACACACACACACACACACACACACAAAUUAUCACAUACCGAUGAGACCUCUCCAAACCCAUCCCAACCUGGCCUGCCCAGCAUCUUUCUGACAAAGGCAACAACUGAGUGACAUUUCAUUCCAUUACUGCUCGUCUCCCUGCCUUCACCAUUGCUCAGCCUUAGAUGAGGCAAGAUCAACUGUAAAUUGCCAGGCUGAGCUAAUCGGGACAGGGGGAAGAAGGUGGGAAUGACUGGGUAAUUGAAAUGAAUUGGAAUGAAAGAAGAGACUCUGGGAGUGGGAGGACCUCGAGCCGCAAUGCUCAUUUGACCCAUCUGAGAUUUUUUGUAGCCUAAUCAUGCCAUACUGUUUACUGGAAAUGUGUUUUUGUCUUAGCCUUUAGUACUCUCUGUAGCUCCCUCCUGACCAAGAGUGCGUCUUGCGCUCUCUCAGAUUGGGGUUCCAUCUGAUGCCUGUGCUUUUAUAUUGGACUAGUGGAGCUGACUUGUGUUGUUUCUCCUCAGGUGACCUUGACCUUGACGAUGCUUUAGUCAGUGAUCCAAUAAACCUCAUUCUUUUCUUUU